rnacentral:rRNA from 1 species
AGAGUUUGAUCCUGGCUCAGGACGAACGCUGGCGGCGUGCCUAACACAUGCAAGUCGAACGGAGAUAUUUGAAAGAAGUUUUCGGAUGGAUUUUAAAUAUCUUAGUGGCGGACGGGCGAGUAACGCGUGAGCAACCUGCCCUUCAGUGGGGAAUAACGACCGGAAACGGGCGCUAAUACCGCAUAAAAUAUACAUUUGGCAUCGAAAGUAUAUCAAAGGAGCAAUUCGCUGAAGGAUGGGCUCGCGUCCGAUUAGCUGGUUGGUGAGGUAACGGCUCACCAAGGCGACGAUCGGUAGCCGAACUGAGAGGUUGAUCGGCCGCAUUGGGACUGAGACACGGCCCAGACUCCUACGGGAGGCAGCAGUGGGGGAUAUUGCACAAUGGAGGAAACUCUGAUGCAGCAACGCCGCGUGAGGGAAGAAGGUCUUCGGAUUGUAAACCUUAGUAGUCAGGGACGAAACAAAUGACGGUACCUGAAGAGUAAGCUCCGGCUAACUACGUGCCAGCAGCCGCGGUAAUACGUAGGGAGCGAGCGUUGUCCGGAAUUACUGGGUGUAAAGGGUGCGUAGGCGGGACUGCAAGUCAGGCGUGAAAUACCGGGGCUUAACUCCGGGGCUGCGCUUGAAACUGUGGUUCUUGAGUGAAGUAGAGGCAGGCGGAAUUCCUAGUGUAGCGGUGAAAUGCGUAGAUAUUAGGAGGAACACCAGUGGCGAAGGCGGCCUGCUGGGCUUUAACUGACGCUGAGGCACGAAAGCAUGGGGAGCAAACAGGAUUAGAUACCCUGGUAGUCCAUGCUGUAAACGAUGAUAGCUAGGUGUGGGGGGACUGACCCCUUCCGUGCCGGAGUUAACACAAUAAGCUAUCCACCUGGGGAGUACGACCGCAAGGUUGAAACUCAAAGGAAUUGACGG